UCAGCCUGCUUCCGGACGGGCGAGGAGACUCGUGGUCUGGUUCUAGGACUUCCCAAACAGCAUGGCCCCUAAAGGGCAGUCUUCACUCCUGCCUCAAAAGAAGAAACCAAGACCACCGCCUGCUCUGGGACCGGAGGAGACACCGGCUUCUGCAGGCUUGCCGAAGAAGGGAGAAAAAGAACAGCAAGAAGCAAUUGAACACAUUGAUGAAGUACAAAAUGAAAUAGACAGACUUAAUGAACAAGCCAGUGAGGAGAUUUUGAAAGUAGAACAGGAAUAUAACAAACUCCACCAACCAUUUUUUCAGAAGAGGUCAGAAUUGAUCGCCAAAAUCCCAGAUUUUUGGGUGACAACAUUUGUCAACCAUCCACAAGUGUCUGCACUGUUUGGGGAGGAAGACGAAGAGGCACUGCAUUAUUUGACCAGAGUUGAAGUGACAGAAUUUGAAGAUAUUAAAUCAGGUUACAGAAUAAAUUUUUAUUUUGAUGAAAAUCCUUACUUUGAAAAUAAAGUUCUCUCCAAAGAAUUUCAUCUGAGUGAGAGUGGUGAUCCAUCUUCAAAGUCCACCGAAAUCAAAUGGAAAUCUGGAAAGGAUUUGACGAAAAGUUCAAGUCAAACGCAGAAUAAAGCCAGCAGGAAGAGGCAGCAUGAGGAACCAGAGAGCUUCUUUACCUGGUUUACUGACCUUUCUGAUGCAGGUGCUGAUGCGUUAGGAGAGGUCAUCAAAGAUGAUAUUUGGUCAAACCCAUUGACCAAAUAUCAGUACUACUUGGUUCCUGAUAUGGAUGAUGAAGAAGGAGAAGGAGAAGAUGAUGAUGAUGAUGAUUAAGAGGAGGAAAGAUUAGAAGAUAUUGAUGAAGAAGGAGAUGAGGAUGAAGGAGGAUGAAGAAGAAGAUAACUAAUAGAACACUGAUGAAUUCCAACCUUCCUUUUUAAAAAUUUUCUCCA